AAAUUGAAGAGUUUGAUCAUGGCUCAGAUUGAACGCUGGCGGCAGGCCUAACACAUGCAAGUCGAGCGGUAGCACAGAAGAGCUUGCUCUUUGGGUGACGAGCGGCGGACGGGUGAGUAAUGUCUGGGAAACUGCCUGAUGGAGGGGGAUAACUACUGGAAACGGUAGCUAAUACCGCAUAACCUCGCAAGAGCAAAGAGGGGGACCUUAGGGCCUCUCGCCAUCAGAUGUGCCCAGAUGGGAUUAGCUAGUAGGUGAGGUAAUGGCUCACCUAGGCGACGAUCCCUAGCUGGUCUGAGAGGAUGACCAGCCACACUGGAACUGAGACACGGUCCAGACUCCUACGGGAGGCAGCAGUGGGGAAUAUUGCACAAUGGGCGCAAGCCUGAUGCAGCCAUGCCGCGUGUGUGAAGAAGGCCUUCGGGUUGUAAAGCACUUUCAGCGGGGAGGAAGGCAGUAAGGUUAAUAACCUUGCUGAUUGACGUUACCCGCAGAAGAAGCACCGGCUAACUCCGUGCCAGCAGCCGCGGUAAUACGGAGGGUGCAAGCGUUAAUCGGAAUGACUGGGCGUAAAGCGCACGCAGGCGGUCUGUUAAGUUGGAUGUGAAAUCCCCGGGCUUAACCUGGGAACUGCAUUCAAAACUGACAGGCUAGAGUCUUGUAGAGGGGGGUAGAAUUCCAGGUGUAGCGGUGAAAUGCGUAGAGAUCUGGAGGAAUACCGGUGGCGAAGGCGGCCCCCUGGACAAAGACUGACGCUCAGGUGCGAAAGCGUGGGGAGCAAACAGGAUUAGAUACCCUGGUAGUCCACGCUGUAAACGAUGUCGAUUUGGAGGUUGUGCCCUUGAGGCGUGGCUUCCGGAGCUAACGCGUUAAAUCGACCGCCUGGGGAGUACGGCCGCAAGGUUAAAACUCAAAUGAAUUGACGGGGGCCCGCACAAGCGGUGGAGCAUGUGGUUUAAUUCGAUGCAACGCGAAGAACCUUACCUACUCUUGACAUCCAGAGAACUUAGCAGAGAUGCUUUGGUGCCUUCGGGAACUCUGAGACAGGUGCUGCAUGGCUGUCGUCAGCUCGUGUUGUGAAAUGUUGGGUUAAGUCCCGCAACGAGCGCAACCCUUAUCCUUUGUUGCCAGCGAUUCGGUCGGGAACUCAAAGGAGACUGCCGGUGAUAAACCGGAGGAAGGUGGGGAUGACGUCAAGUCAUCAUGGCCCUUACGAGUAGGGCUACACACGUGCUACAAUGGCGUAUACAAAGAGAAGCGACCUCGCGAGAGCAAGCGGACCUCAUAAAGUACGUCGUAGUCCGGAUUGGAGUCUGCAACUCGACUCCAUGAAGUCGGAAUCGCUAGUAAUCGUAGAUCAGAAUGCUACGGUGAAUACGUUCCCGGGCCUUGUACACACCGCCCGUCACACCAUGGGAGUGGGUUGCAAAAGAAGUAGGUAGCUUAACCUUCGGGAGGGCGCUUACCACUUUGUGAUUCAUGACUGGGGUGAAGUCGUAACAAGGUAACCGUAGGGGAACCUGCGGUUGGAUCACCUCCUUACCAAGAAG
rnacentral:rRNA from 1 species